rnacentral:rRNA from 1 species
UCGACGAUGAUGCCCUGCUUGCAGGGUGGAUUAGUGGCGAACGGGUGAGUAACACGUGUUUGAUCUGCCCCGCACUUCGGGAUAAGCCUGGGAAACUGGGUCUAAUACCGGAUACGACCCCCUGGUAGGUCAGGGGGUGGAAAGAUUUAUCGGUGUGGGAUGAGCCUGCGGCCUAUCAGCUUGUUGGUGGGGUAAUGGCCUACCAAGGCGUCGACGGGUAGCCGGCCUGAGAGGGUGAUCGGCCACAUUGGGACUGAGACACGGCCCAGACUCCUACGGGAGGCAGCAGUGGGGAAUAUUGCACAAUGGGCGCAAGCCUGAUGCAGCGACGCCGCGUGGGGGAUGACGGCCUUCGGGUUGUAAACUCCUUUCGACAGGGACGAAGCUAACGUGACGGUACCUGUAGAAGAAGCACCGGCUAACUACGUGCCAGCAGCCGCGGUAAUACGUAGGGUGCGAGCGUUGUCCGGAAUUACUGGGCGUAAAGAGCUCGUAGGUGGUUUGUCGCGUCGUCUGUGAAAUCCCGGGGCUUAACCUCGGGGCGUGCAGGCGAUACGGGCAUAACUUGAGUGCUGUAGGGGAAACUGGAAUUCCUGGUGU